AAAAAUAAUUACUAUUGGGGCUGGGGUUGUGGCUCAGUGGUAGAGCGCUCGUCUAGCAUGCACGAGUUCCUGGAUUCGAUCCUCAGCACCACAUAAAAAUAAGUAAACAAAAUAAAGUUGUAUUGUGUACAACUAAGAAAUAAAUAUUUUUAAAAAAUAAUUACUAUUUCCCCAAAUUCAUCAGAAUAAAGGGGAAAGCAGCCAUCAUUCAACAUUAUUGAGAUUCUAAUGUACAUUCCCUAAAUAUCAGCCAAUUCCUGAUAUAUGGUGACACACUUCUCUGCCCACCAAAUAUUUCUUUUUUUCUUUACAGUAAAAGUUCUAUAGUACCAAGAAAAUAAAGCAAUAAUGACAGUCUCAGCAGCCAACAUUCUGACUGAGGGAAAUGACCCACCAUCCCACUGGACAGCGAUGGUAGUUUCUCCCUAUACUUCAGCCUUGAACGAGUGGCUUUUCAUAGGGUCCAUUCAUGGUGCACUUGAUGGUACUAAGAUAAAGACCUUCAGAUCACUGAUUUAUCUCCCUUUUCCCAUCCAUCUAAAGAUUCAUGCUGAUCUUCUGAGUGUUGAUGGGAGAACAAUAGUUAGCUUGAUCUGUUGUUGCUCUUAGAAGGCCCGAAAAGCCACUGGGCAUUGCCAAGGAGUUCUGGAUCAGGUGGAAACCCUCACAUUGUCUUCAGGCUGUAUCAGGAAAUCCCUAAGAUGGAUGCUGCUAUGAACUAGCCAUACCUGUAAGUGCUGCUAGCCGGAACUCAGUGUAUUCUGGGAUCACAGCAAGGAAAGCGCUGGCUAGGGUUCCUCUCUUGCGAAGUGUGCAGAACCUCCUUGGAAGUGGUGAAGAUUCCAGCUCAAUAGAAAGUGCAUAGCUGGCUGAUAAAUCCCUGUGAAGUUCACUCCUUGAUCCCUGGUGCAAUCAUUUUGUCUUCUCUCUUGGUGUUUCCCUCUGCCAACUUUAAGCAGCCAUUUUUCCAAAUCAUGAUUACAAAUUUUUCCUUUGUUGAUGCCUUUCUGGGGCAUACUUCCCCCACCCUAAAAGGUCACCUGCAGCUUGGACUGACUGGUCUUCUCUUCUGUGGCAUUCUCUCACAAGCGAUCCUUUGAAAUUUAGCACAAAGUGCCUUUUCUGUCACAGUUCUGCCACCUUCAGAGGACUUUUGCUGCAUCCAAAAAUGUGGAAGUUCCAUAUUAAUGCAUUGCUCAUUUUGUUUUUAAGAUUUAUUUUUUUUUGGCACUGGGGUUUGAACUCAGGGCAGUUGACCACUGAGCCACAUCCUCAGCCCUAUUUUGUAUUUUUAUUUAGAGAUAGGUUUCACUGAGUUGCUUAGCGUCUUGCUUUUGCUGAGGCUGGCUUUAAACUCGGGAUCCUCCUUCCUCAGCGUCCUUAGCCACUGGGAUUACAGGUGUGCUUCACUGUGCCCAACUGUUUUUAAAUUUUGAUAACUGUUGAAGCAUCAUUUGCACCUGCAUGGUGACUUUGCCUGUUGUAAAGCAUCAUGGCCAUGCUCCAGCUGGGAGACUGCUUUCUUCAGUCUCAAGGUUGAGAAGGUCAGCUUUGAAAGGGAACUAUGCCCCAGCUUAGACAUUCAGAAGAGAAGAGUAUGAGAUUAGAGGUACAGUCAUAAGUGAAACUGCUUGGAUUUUAAUAUCUUAGUUGAUGAUAAAAAAGAAUGUUAGAGAAGUCUUAAUCUGGAUGAAGGUAGCAUGUUUAUCCCUUAAUCUUUCAUUCAUAGCCUGUUAGUGAAAGGAUGUAAAUGAAAUUAUUUUGUGUAACUUUGUAGUUUCUAUGUAUUAUCAAACAGUUGAGGGGGGCUGGGACUGUGGCUCAGCGGUAGAGCGCUCGCCUAGCACAUGCAGG
rnacentral:lncRNA from 1 species